CGCGUGAGGGUCUCCGUACAUGGAAGCAGGCACACCUACUCCGUCCAUCCCGCCGUAGUGGGGCAGCUCAUCGUACUGUCGGAACCCGGCAAAGGGGAGGCGGGAGCAGGAGAGACAAAACAAGCAGCCCAGGCUAGUCUAGGCGGCGGCGCAGCGGCUGCGGCAGCGCGGCCCCAGCGGCGGCCCCGGCGGCGGCGGCGGCUCCUACGCAGCCCGUGCCCGCCCCGAGCCGCGGGAGCAGCGGCGGCAGCGGCGCAGCGAGAGGCGGCAGCAGGAGAGCCGGGGGACUCGCGCUGCUGGGGUAAAAGCCGGAGCGAGGCGAAAGCGUGUAACAGUUGCACACGCACACACACCACUCACACGCACUCGCCGCCCGCCCGCUCGCACAGCGCUGGAACACGCGCGCCCAGACACGCACACACGCACGCACACACACUCGCACACACGCAGAGGCACGGGGGGGAAAAGCCGGUGAAUAAUUUUGCUGCUAUUUUUUUAAAUACUGGCCGCCAUCAUCAAGCAGCGAGCAGCAGCAGCAGCAGCAGCGCUGAAGGGAGAGGAGGCAUCGGGACAGGCCCUUCUUAGGCGAGGAUUUAUAUCUAGAAAAAGAAGAAGAAAAAGAAGAAAAAAAUUGUCAAGCCCCCGAACUGAAGGUUACGAGCGGCCCGUCAGCAGCCCACAUGUAACCGAACUGUCGUGUUUCAUGGCUUUUUGCCACUCCAGCUGUCAAUCAAAGCCCG